UAGGGAAUCUUCCACAAUGGACGCAAGUCUGAUGGAGCAACGCCGCGUGAGUGAAGAAGGUUUUCGGAUCGUAAAGCCCUGUUGUUGGUGAAGACGGAUAGAGGCAGUAACUGGUCUUUAUUUGACGGUAAUCAACCAGAAAGUCCCGGCUAACUACGUGCCAGCAGCCGCGGUAAUACGUAGUUGGCAAGCGUUGUCCGGAUUUAUUGGGCGUAAAGCGACCGCAGGCGGAAUGAUAAGUCUGAUGUGAAAGCCCACGGCUCAACCGUGGAACUGCAUCGGAAACUGUCAUUCUUGAGUGCAGAAGAGGGGAGUGGAAUUCCAUGUGUAGCGGUGGAAUGCGUAGAUAUAUGGAAGAACACCAGUGGCGAAGGCGGCUCUCUGGUCUGCAACUGACGCUGAGGCUCGAAAGCAUGGGUAGCGAACAGG
rnacentral:rRNA from 1 species